rnacentral:tRNA from 1 species
AGCCUUGAGGUGUUAACAUAACAGGUUGCAAACCUGAAGAAGUAGGCUGAUUGCCUGCCGGGGCU